CUCGUACUCCCUCCGUUCGGAAAUACUUGUCAUAGAUAUGGAUGUAUCUAGAUGUAUUUUAAUUUUAGAUACGUCCAUUUUCAUCCAUUUCAAUGACGAGUAAUUCCGGACGAAGGGAGUAUUAC
rfam:Triticum aestivum genome assembly, contig: Triticum_aestivum_CS42_TGACv1_scaffold_528819_6DL